ACAUGUCUGCAUGGUCACAACAAAUUCGAGGCAUGCGGAUGUCUGCACAGAGCCUACGCGUACAUCCAAAAAAUGUAUGUUAUGUGUACCCUAGCGGACUCUCGCAUACUCAUGGACGUGGAAGGUAUAAUUUAGGCUUAAUGCGUAAAUGACGAAUCUUAGCGCUUGAAUUCUACGCAGGGCGUGUCUCGCCAAGAAAAGCAGUGGGAUCCAUAAUAACACAUCACCUACACCUUUCUUCUACACUAGAUGUCACCAAAACAUUGAUCGCUGGUUUUGUCAUUAUUUGUGGCGGUACCUUCAGUUUUUGUCCUGCAGAGGGAAAUCUUGUUUUGCAUCAACAUAUGACAGCUCCCCAGAAAUAAGUAUCUGCGUGGGAGCAGCGGUAGCAUUGAAAAAGCAAAAUGAUUGUUACGACCCCUUAUCAAGCCUGCAUCCCACAUGAGGAGUUUCUGAUUGUCCGUAAUGAUCAUGAAAUCUCAGAGCAGUGACUGUUAGAUUAAAAAUGUAAAGAAAGUGGAAUUAAAUCCAGAGAUUCCUUCUCAUAUUUCACUGCUCCUGGAUCCCUGCUCGUGGAUCAGUGCAUUGAAGAUAUGGUCUUUUUUUCAUAACAGCUGAUGUGUGUGUGUGUGUGCAGACAUACAGUUGUGAGCAAUAACUGAAUCCUCAGCAGGCAUCUGUCAGUGCUGCUCUGCUGAUGCUGCGGAUGCUGCUCUGCAUACUGGCACACAGGCGCAGCUCGGGAUAGGGACCAACUACCAGGUUAUUGAUCUGAUCGGACAGAUACCAAUCUCCAUGGAGCCUCACCUGUUCACCACAGCCUGCUUCCUGUUUGGCAUAUCAAACUCAAACUCACAUGAGCUCGGUGUCCACAUUUCUGUUCACUCUUCCUGGCCCUCAGAUGUUUUCGUGUCUAACAUACCUGGAGCAAAACGCCAGGGUGGACUGCAAGUUCCCACCCAUCUACCAGAUCCCAGGCCCCUACUGUGAGUAUCGGCAGGACAGCCGGCAGCCGGCUGGUGGGCAGCACCUACCCCAACGCCGUCAUCUAUGUGUCCACUGAAGACCGCAGGAGGAGAAACAUCAGCCUGGUCACUCCCAAUCUGUGCCGCCUCAUCUGGGCCCCGAUGGCUGAUGAGAAGCCUUACACCUACACCUGCAGGGUUUACCAAGGCACCACCUGGAAAGAGAACAGCAUGGCCGUGC